GCAUUGUUGGCGUCAAUGGUGAUUUCCAUCUAUGUGCGAUGGCAGUUUUAGUAGCCAUGAGACAGUGGAUCAUGAAAGGGAUUGCUUCCUUGGGAAGAGAAUUCGGAAAAAUAUGUAGUAGAAAGCACUCUGGGGAUUGGGGGAUGUGCACUCCCAGAAUUUUAUACAGAAGAGCGUGUAUGUCCCGCCAUAGAGUGGUAAUAGGCGUACAUGUCCAAAAUAAAUGUAAGAGGGACCCUACGCUAUUUUGGCAUCUCCAACAGCUUGCGUCAGAGCCCGGAUAGAUACGGGCCAGUUUGGUGGGGACUAGAUACCAACGCAUUGCUAAUUUACAGUAUGUUUCCCAUUGAUUAAGGCUAUGGGACGCCUGUUUAGUUAAUUUUUGGGCGCGAUGCCAUAAAUCAUUAGAAAAAUGCUUUCCCAGAUCUGAUUCCCACUUAGACAUAUACGAUGGUUUGGACAGUUUGUCUUGGAGCAGUAGAGUGUUGUAACAUAGAGAUAAUGCUUUGAUUUUUGGAAGCUUGCCCAUGCAUUUGUGAAUGAAGGGUGAUGUAGAGUCGGGUUCACUCAGGCUAAUCCCG